GAUGAAUGCUGGCGGCGUGCCUAAUACAUGCAAGUCGAGCGAACGGACGAGAAGCUUGCUUCUCUGAUGUUAGCGGCGGACGGGUGAGUAACACGUGGAUAACCUACCUAUAAGACUGGGAUAACUUCGGGAAACCGGAGCUAAUACCGGAUAAUAUUUUGAACCGCAUGGUUCAAAAGUGAAAGACGGUCUUGCUGUCACUUAUAGAUGGAUCCGCGCUGCAUUAGCUAGUUGGUAAGGUAACGGCUUACCAAGGCAACGAUGCAUAGCCGACCUGAGAGGGUGAUCGGCCACACUGGAACUGAGACACGGUCCAGACUCCUACGGGAGGCAGCAGUAGGGAAUCUUCCGCAAUGGGCGAAAGCCUGACGGAGCAACGCCGCGUGAGUGAUGAAGGUCUUCGGAUCGUAAAACUCUGUUAUUAGGGAGGAACAUAUGUGUAAGUAACUGUGCACAUCUUGACGGUACCUAAUCAGAAAGCCACGGCUAACUACGUG
rnacentral:rRNA from 1 species